GCGGGCGUGGCUCAAUGGUAGAGCGCGACCCUUCCAAGGUUGAAACGCGGGUUCGAUUCCCGCCGCCCGCUCCA
rnacentral:tRNA from 1 species